AGCUCUGAGGUGUUACAUACGAAAUUGCAAACUUCGAGACGCAGAUAAACGUCUGCCAGGGCUU
rnacentral:tRNA from 1 species